GAUGAACGCUAGCGGCAGGCCUAACACAUGCAAGUCGAGCGGGAUCCACCUUCGGGUGGUGAGAGCGGCGCACGGGUGCGUAACGCGUAUGCAACCUACCUUUUGCUACGGGAUAGCCCAGGGAAACUUGGAUUAACACCGUAUAGUAUGCGGUCCCCUCAUAGGGACUGUAUUAAAGGCUACGGCAAAAGAUGGGCAUGCGUCCUAUUAGCUAGAUGGUAAGGUAACGGCUUACCAUGGCGACGAUAGGUAGGGGCCCUGAGAGGGGGAUCCCCCACACUGGUACUGAGACACGGACCAGACUCCUACGGGAGGCAGCAGUGAGGAAUAUUGGACAGGGGGCGGAAGCCUGAUCCAGCCAUGCCGCGUGCAGGAAGACGGCCCUAUGGGUUGUAAACUGCUUUUGUACGGGAAGAAACACCCCCUCGUGAGGGGGCUUGACGGUACCGUAAGAAUAAGGAUCGGCUAACUCCGUGCCAGCCGCCGCCGUAAAAC
rnacentral:rRNA from 1 species